rnacentral:rRNA from 1 species
UACGUAGGAGGCAAGCGUUGUCCGGAAUUACUGGGCGUAAAGGGCGUGUAGGUGGUUUCGUAAGUCUGGCGUGAAAUUUUUCGGCUUAACCGGGAAAGGUCGUCGGAUACUGCGGAACUAGAGGACGGUAGAGGCGUGUGGAAUUCCGGGUGUAGUGGUGAAAUGCGUAGAGAUCCGGAGGAACACCAGUGGCGAAGGCGACACGCUGGGCCGUACCUGACACUGAUGCGCGACAGCAUGGGGAGCAAACAGG